rnacentral:RNase_P_RNA from 2 species
GGAGCUGACUGGGUAGUCGCUGCUUUGUUGAUGUCCUUCGGGAGACUGACGUUGAGGUCCUUUAGGAAACUGACGUUGACGUCCUUCGGGAUACUGACAAAGGGGAGGAAAGUCCGGGCUUCAUAGAGCAAGGUGCCAGGUAACGCCUGGGGGGCGCAAGCCUACGACAAGUGCAGCAGAGAGAAGACCGCCGAUGGCUUUUUUUUUCGUUAGAGAAAAGGGGAUCAGGUAAGGGUGAAAGGGUGCGGUAAGAGCGCACCGGACGACUAGUAAUAGUUCGUAGCAGGGUAAACUCCACCUGAAGCAAGACCAAAUAGGCCUCCACAUUGCGUUGCUCGCGUAAGGAGGCGGGUAGGUUGCUCGAGCCAGUGAGUGAUUGCUGGCCUAGACGAAUGGCUACCGCCGCGCAAGCGGAACAGAACCCGGCUUAUGUGUCGGCUCCACCU